UACGGGGGGGGCAAGCGUUGUUCGGAAUUACUGGGCGUAAAGGGUUUGUAGGUGGCCCGCUAAGUCACACGUGAAAUCCCUCAGCUUAACUGGGGAACUGCGUGUGAGACUGGCAGGCUCGAGGGCAGGAGAGGAACGCGGAAUUCCAGGUGUAGCGGUGAAAUGCGUAGAGAUCGGCAGGAACACCCAGGGGGAAACCAGCCGGCUGGGGAGGUGCUGACGCUCAGGGGCGAAAGCGUGGGGAGCGAACCGG
rnacentral:rRNA from 1 species